GGCCACAGCCAUAUCACCCUGCAGCCCAAGACCGGUUACUCACUGAAGCUAAGGACUGAGCCUGGUUAGUACCUGGAUGGGAGACCACUAGGGAACACUAGGGUGCUGUUAGAA
rnacentral:rRNA from 1 species